CUAACAUCUUAUGUCUAAUUUCUAAGAUUUAGUUGUAAUUCAACUACGUGACUGCAACCCUACCACUUUCUCUUCAUUUUUGCUAUUCACUGUCUGAUUAAUGGAUUGGAACCCUUCCCUAAAAACAAAUUAAUAUAUAACAUAAACAAUGGAUCUUACUAUAACACUGAAAUAAUUAAGAUAAGUGUGUUUUGCAAACUUAUAUAUAGAGAUGCCCUGAACAAUAAUUUAUCUUACAAAAUUCUCUUAAAAACUUCGGCAGCUCUGCCAUUGUUGGUCUUUUAAGCAGACCUCUUGUCAAACAGAUAGAGAAAAGAUGGCAGAGAGCAGAUUAAGUUUGGUAGUUUAUAUGUUGUUAGUGUUGAUGACAGUUAUGGUGAAGGUGAAGGUGAAGGGAGAUCCAACAUGCAGUCCAGCAGGGAACUUCUGGUGCAACAGUGGGCGAUGUUGCAGCAUAUAUAACUGGUGUGGAAGUACAUCAGACUACUGUGCAUCUGGCAACUGCCUUGCUCAGUGCUGGCCUAAUGCUGUUGCUCUUAACCAGUCUACUUUGAAUCUAUUCCAAAAGAACCUUACCUCAGAUUGAAUCUAUGAUUCUAUCCCGAAAGAACCAGCCGGAGUGUUGGGAAGCAUUAAUUUUUCCAGAGCAUUUAAUAUGGAGGUUUCUCCAACGAAAUAAAGUUCAGCAUUAACUUUUUCCAUCGGCAUUAACUUCUUCCAUUUACUUUUAAAAUAUUAUCCAAGUAUGUGUUUUGAAUAUCUAGAAUUCUGGAUAGUUCUAAAGACCUCUAUAAAAGAGGCAAUUGUAAUAGGUUAAGUAUCAAAGGAGUUUCAGCUGAUCAUGUAUGAGGAAUGCAGCAGCAUUCUCAGGCAAUAUAAUCUGUUGUUAACAAUUGAUUAAUGAAGAUCAGUACUGCAUCACUGUGGGCAAUUUGAUAAAUCUGUGUAUGAUAGUUUUGAGUCAUAAGUGGAAAACAUUCAGAGGGUGACACGGUAUGUUUCGUAUUUCGGGAAGUUUGUCUUGUCUAUUGUAAGAAGGUAGAGGUUGUAUGCCCAACUGUUGAAAGAGAGCGUAACAAAUCCAUAAAAAGAUCAAACUAAUGAAAACCCAAAGUCCAAAGUUUGAUACAGCCGCAGCUGUUAGAAGAUCGGAUUGUUUGAAGGAUAUAAGGCACGUGAUGCUGCCAUAUAAGGUAAAUCACAAGAAGACAAUCGAAGAUAUGUUUGAAAAGAAGAUUUAAGAUUUACAAAAGGCAAAGAGAAUGUUACUGAAUCUUGAAAGAGGUUGCCAUUCUCAAAGGAGAAAUGAAUGGUUUGUAUGACUGGCACAGCCGUAGAGGAAUUGAAUGUUGAAAUUGGAAUCGAUAGUUGUGAAUAAGGACAACCUCCAAUUCGUCCAGCUCUCUUCAUUUUGUCUCUGCUUCCAUCCCAUGCAGAUAGGACUGAGAUUUAAAUGUAUAUUUAAUGUGCAAUGAUUGCUUUUGUUUUUCCCUCUCUGUUGGGCAUAUACGCUAAACUAGGCUAGUGUUUAGUAAUGUUAUGUAUAAGAAAGAGCAGAAAGUGUGUGACUGUAGCAACAGCGAAUGAAGUAUGAAACAGGGGAUGUCUAUUAUGAACAGGACUUACUUUUUCAGCAUUUUCUGAGCACAAGAAAAGGGCAGCACUUAAAUGUUUAUGAAGGGUAGCAGUCUCAUAUUUAUGAAGCAUAUAUUAAUUCUUGUUUGUAUUUGAAAAAAUAUAAAUAUAUAAAUCUCUUUUAGUUCA